rnacentral:rRNA from 1 species
UGGAUUAGUGGCGAACGGGUGAGUAACACGUGAGUAACCUGCCCUUGACUCUGGGAUAAGCGUUGGAAACGACGUCUAAUACCGGAUACGACCUUCGGAGGCAUCUCCUGGGGGUGGAAAGAAUUUUGGUCAAGGAUGGACUCGCGGCCUAUCAGGUAGUUGGUGAGGUAACGGCUCACCAAGCCGACGACGGGUAGCCGGCCUGAGAGGGUGACCGGCCACACUGGGACUGAGACACGGCCCAGACUCCUACGGGAGGCAGCAGUGGGGAAUAUUGCACAAUGGGCGCAAGCCUGAUGCAGCAACGCCGCGUGAGGGACGACGGCCUUCGGGUUGUAAACCUCUUUUAGUAGGGAAGAAGCGAAAGUGACGGUACCUGCAGAAAAAGCACCGGCUAACUACGUGCCAGCAGCCGCGGUAAUACGUAGGGUGCAAGCGUUGUCCGGAAUUAUUGGGCGUAAAGAGCUCGUAGGCGGUUUGUCGCGUCUGCUGUGAAAUCCCGAGGCUCAACCUCGGGCCUGCAGUGGGUACGGGCAGACUAGAGUGCGGUAGGGGAGAUUGGAAUUCCUGGUGUAGCGGUGGAAUGCGCAGAUAUCAGGAGGAACACCGAUGGCGAAGGCAGAUCUCUGGGCCGUAACUGACGCUGAGGAGCGAAAGCAUGGGGAGCGAACAGGAUUAGAUACCCUGGUAGUCCAUGCCGUAAACGUUGGGAACUAGAUGUGGGGACCAUUCCACGGUCUCCGUGUCGCAGCUAACGCAUU